UGCCAGCAGCCGCGGUAAUACGGAGGGUGCAAGCAUUAAUCGGAUUUACUGGGUGUAAAGAGCGCGUAGGCGGGUAGGCAAGUCAGAUGUGAAAUUCCGGAGCUCAACUCCGGAGCUGCAUUUGAAACUACUUAUCUUGAGGGUGGACGGAGAAAACGGAAUUCCACGUGUAGCGGUGAAAUGCGUAGAUAUGUGGAAGAACACCGGUGGCGAAGGCGGUUUUCUAGUUCAUUCCUGACGCUGAGGCGCGAGAGCAAGGGGAGCAAACAGGAUUAGAUA
rnacentral:rRNA from 1 species